UUGCAGCCGCCUACAAUGAAAUUUGCGAAGUUUUUUCGGUUUCGGCGCCAUUUUCGAGUGGACUCGGAGUGUUAAGAAAAAACUGUGGAUCCUGGGAUUUUACAGUGGAUUUUACUGGUUUUCUGGAGUGCUCUCCCACUGAAGCAGUGAUCUGGCUCUCCGGAGAGGCUGUGCAGGAUGUGCCUGUGUUCAGAGGUGAGUUGGCAAGGUAAGCUCAUAUCCCACCUGCUCCAAAAGACCUGCAGCACCUCUGGGUCAAUGCAGGUCCCUGACACACAAAUCCCUUCUUGGGUACUGCAGGUGAUACCUAGGAGAGGGUAACUGAACUCAAAUUACACUGUUCAGCUGCCAAUUUCUGAUGUAAAGUUGAGUUUCCAAAGCACAAACUAAGUUUGAAAGAAGCUGAAGUGGAGAUGGGAUAAUUCAAACAUGGAACUUUGUGUUGCAUAAAAUAUUGAUGCUGUCAUGUCAUAAAUGUGCAUAUUUUCUCAGAUACAUAUUUCACUGCCUAUCCCAAAUUUCCACUUGCCCAAUACUUGGUGUGACUGUUGGUUUUCCCUCUGUGCUAGAGGCUGGUGGAGGUGUAUUGAACCCUUGCUUGAAAAGUCCUCCUUACUGAAGAGAGCUCUUGCCCUUGUUGUUGAACUAAAAGUCUGGUUUACAUAAAUAUUUUAUAUAAAUAUAAAAACAUUAAUUAAAACGUGAACCUCAAGCACUAUCAAAAUGGAUUCUAAAGCUGAACGUGUUUGCUGCUGCUUUUUUCUUUUGGAUUCAUUUGAAGAGAUGAAAGAAAUAAGAUUGCACAGGUACAGUCAAGUAAAACAAUGUUGCAGCAGUAAUUAAUGCUAAUAUUUUGUGGGGGGUGUUUUGGUGUAGCUCUACAGCUGAACACUGGGUGCGUGUUUGCUUUGCAGCAAGUAGCAGCUGCUCAUUAGGGAGUUGGCCCUGGUGCUGUCAGUGUUGAGGACACUGAAGUGGUGAAAAUAUACUGCUUUUUGGUUGGCAAAUAUUUGAUUUCAGAUGUGAAAUCGCUUGGCAUGGGUCACAAGAGCUUUUGAGAUUCCUAUUUUGAAGUUUGCUGCAGAGGCAGGGGCUCGGUGGCGCGUUGGGCACGAGGGGAUGGCACAAGAAUUCAAACCCAGGGCGUCAUUUCUGACAUUGUUCAGGGGUUUUUUUGUGAUGCUGCUUUUUAAGAAAAUGAAUUGAAGGAAGUUGUCCCAUAACUGGUGGGGUGGGGGGGGAAGGUUGAAAGGAAAUACAAAAAAUAUCAGUCUGUCUGCAGGGCUCCUGUGCAGCCCAGGCAGGCUGGUGUGUAAAUGCCACUGGCAGCUGCCGUUGCAGGGCUGCAGCCCCUGCCUGCCCUCAUACAGGCUGGGAAUGUGAUGAAAUUCCAGAAAUUUUAAUUUCUGGUCGUAUAAGGCUUGUCCAUUCACAUAAUAAAUAAGCAUCAUUUACUCUUUUAAAAAAUAAGGAUUUUUUUUUACAUAUCUCAAAAUCGUCAAAUUGAGCUGAAUGAAAAUUUUUUAAGGAAAAUUUAACAGGGUUCAACUGUUGGAAUAUGGAUUUAUUUGAAAUGUUAACAUUGUGACUUCUGGAAAAUCCCUGAUGUUCAGUAUCACCUAAGAGGAAACUACAAGGUAAUAUUUCCCCACAGGCCAGUUGGAAAGGCUGGGAAGUUCUGCAGGCUCUUCACAGGAGCAAAAGCAAUAGAUCUUCUGGAUCUGAAAGUGUGUUAUUUGCUGGGACCCAAUACUAAGUGUGGUUUGGGGGAACAGUUAAUUUCUGAACUUGUUUGUGAAACUGGUUUGUUUGCACUGUAUAACUGCUUGUUCUCUUAUAGUUACAGACUGUCUGAUAGCACCUGUGAAGAAAAAACCCCUGUCCUGUGGUGGUAAUGCAUGCAUGUUAAAUGUCUUCAUUGUAGAGUGUUCUUCAGUUCUUUAUAUCAUGGUUUAAAAAAAUUAUAUAUACAUAUAUAUAUUCAAAAUACCAUUUGGAAUGUCAACAUUCAGUGGGCUUUGAGGAGAUGUAGCAGCACAUCAUGGUUUGUAGGGACAAGGAGAUACAGACCAUUCUGGGCUGCCUCAUUACCUCAAGGAUAAGACAAGAAAGUGAGCUUCUGGUUAUCAUAGAUGUGGAAGCUAACACAUUCCCAUGUAUCUCAUUAGCUCAGGUAUGUGUUGGUGCUUGGACGGUGCACAUCCUUUACAUCCCUGGAGCUCCUGGGUCUGGCCCUGCAGGCAGGAAGGACUUGCAGCUCCUUUUUGUUCUCCAGCAUGGGCAUGACCACAUCCUAUGCUAUACCCACCCCUCAGCCAUUGCUCUUUGGGCCUUUCCCUGGCAGAGGAUCAGCCAGGGGGCCCUUGCCCUGUGUUUGGGCCAGAGAGGGGGUCUGGAGGCCGUGGAGAGCUGUCAGCAGUGCUCUAGCAGCACGUAAAUACUGGAGUUUGGGAUUGCCUGUUGCUCUCCAGUAUUGCAUUGCUGCUUUAGUGAGGCUGGAAAUCGGUCCCUGCUGCGGGGCUCUGGCUCUUGGGGUCCCCCCUGGCCCCCCCACAGUGCUCCCCACCCCAAUAAACCACUGCGGAGGC